rnacentral:rRNA from 1 species
UAACCUUAUCCAUUAGAGGAAGGAGAAGUCGUAACAAGGUUUCCGUAGGUGAACCUGCGGAAGGAUCAUUGU